rnacentral:rRNA from 2 species
AACUGCGAGUGAAGCGGGAAAAGCUCAAAUUUAAAAUCUGGCGGUCCUCGGCCGUCCGAGUUGUAAUUUAGAGAAGCGUCUUCCGCGCCGGACCGUGCACAAGUCUCCUGGAAUGGAGCGUCGUAGAGGGUGAGAAUCCCGUCUUUGGCACGGACCCCCGGUGCUUCUGUGAUGCGCUCUCGAAGAGUCGAGUUGUUUGGGAAUGCAGCUCAAAAUGGGUGGUGAACUCCAUCUAAAGCUAAAUAUUGGCGAGAGACCGAUAGCGAACAAGUACCGUGAGGGAAAGAUGAAAAGCACUUUGGAAAGAGAGUGAAACAGUACGUGAAAUUGUUGAAAGGGAAACGCUUGAAGUCAGUCGCGUCGACCGAGACUCAGCCUCGCCUUGGCUUGGUGUACUUCUCGGGCCGACGGGUCAGCAUCGAUUUUGCUGCUCGGAAAAUGACAAGGGAAAGGUGGCACCUUUGCGGGUGUGUUAUAGUCUCCUGUCGCAUACGAGGGGCGGGAUCGAGGAACUCAGCACGCGCCUUUGGUGUCGGGGCUUCG